CGACGGGUGAGUAACACGUAUCCAACCUGCCGUCUACUCUUGGCCAGCCUUCUGAAGGAAGAUUAAUCCAGGAUGGCAUCAUGAGUUCACAUGUCCGCAUGAUUAAAGGUAUUUUCCGGUAGACGAUGGGGAUGCGUUCCAUUAGAUAGUAGGCGGGGUAACGGCCCACCUAGUCAACGAUGGAUAGGGGUUCUGAGAGGAAGGUCCCCCACAUUGGAACUGAGACACGGUCCAA
rnacentral:rRNA from 1 species